rnacentral:rRNA from 1 species
GAUGAACGCUGGCGGCGUGCCUAAUACAUGCAAGUCGAGCGAACAGACGAGGAGCUUGCUCCUCUGACGUUAGCGGCGGACGGGUGAGUAACACGUGGAUAACCUACCUAUAAGACUGGGAUAACUUCGGGAAACCGGAGCUAAUACCGGAUAAUAUAUUGAACCGCAUGGUUCAAUAGUGAAAGACGGUUUUGCUGUCACUUAUAGAUGGAUCCGCGCCGCAUUAGCUAGUUGGUAAGGUAACGGCUUACCAAGGCAACGAUGCGUAGCAGACCUGAGAGGGUGAUCGGCCACACUGGAACUGAGACACGGUCCAGACUCCUACGGGAGGCAGCAGUAGGGAAUCUUCCGCAAAGGGCGAAAGCUUGACGGAGCAACGCCGCGUGAGUGAUGAAGGUCUUCGGAUCGUAAAACUCUGUUAUUAGGGAAGAACAAAUGUGUAAGUAACUAUGCACGUCUUGACGGUACCUAAUCAGAAAGCCACGGCUAACUACGUG